CCCGGCGCUGCGGGCGGGGAGAUGGGGGAGUGCGCUAACGCUGCGCCUCCUCCCCCUGAGCGUGCCUUGGCUUCUCCAGCCCGGGGCGGGGGACCUCCAGUUCUUCUGGGCACGCUCGUUUGGAGGAAGCUCACACCUGCUCAGAGGGAGGGUCUCCUAUACGUUAUGCUCUGUCUGGCUUCUUACUCAGCUGCAGGAGAAUAUCAGAACUAACGAGCAAUAAACUCCCUUCAGUUAGGACAAGCCAAAACAAUCCUACAUUCUGAUUUGAGUAAUGGGAAAUCUAUUCUAUCAUCAGUUAAUAAAACACGUUGUUUCUUCAGAUUUGCUGAUCAGUAAUUGUUAUGCCUGGAAAACGCAGGCUCCAUAGCUGUGCCGUACAGUGGCCACCGCAGUUCUGUUGUGAUGCCAUUCUACCACAACUUGCCUUGAAGGGGCGAUUCAGACCGCCUAACUUCUGCAACCUAACAGGAACCUUUGCUGCCUAGGUGGCAGCUGAUGCUUGCAAGUUAAUGGGAUAUCGGAAAUAUUUCAAACAAAUGGUACAAGAUGAGAUUUGGUACCAAAACAUAUGAUAACAGAUGAAACGCAUAUUGCUACAGUGAAAGAUUACAUUCAUGAAGGAAAUGUUUUCAGAUAUUUUAUUACAGUAAUCUGGAUGAGAUCCCUGCAUACUAUGGUGGCCCAAAUAACUGCUGAAAAAGGUUGUCUCUGCAAAAUUUGUCUAGGACAGUGAUAAUAUAUGACAUAAUGGAUUGUGCACGUUCCAAAACACUGUAAGACAAACUUUAAAAGGAGCUGAAGUUUCUGCUGCUGAGGCCACAGAAUAAAGACCUUUGGAAUAAUCAACUCCUGGCUGCUUCUAAUGUUAGGUAAGAACCUAUACCAAGCUUGAGUUUUAAUUUGCAAGGAGUAUUCUUCCCUUUCAUUGGUAAUUAGCUUUUCUAAAUACUUGUGAAAUAAAUAUUUCCUUUAGAAAGCUGCAGCUCAAAGAAUUUUGAAAACGUUGUCACAAUUCAUAAAUUAUUUCAGUCCAGGCAGAAAUAAAAUUUAAGAUGCUAACCCUUUGCCUUAGCUAAUAGGGUCUGAUUUUUCAUAAUGUACUAGAUUGCUUAUUUACAGUUCAAUUUUUUUUGUCAGUAAAAUAAGAACAAUCCUUUCUCUAGCAACAUGACAGCUAGCUAUUUGCCACACAUUUAUAGUUACGGUAGAAAAAAAAUGGAUUUGCUGCACAUUCCUGUUAAAAUAUGAGGUCAUAACAUCUUUCCAUUAAAUAUCAGUGUCAUUACCUACUGACACUGAUCAUUGGAAAACAUUAUAUAUAUGAAAGGCUGGCUUAUUUUGAGGUCCUCCUUCAUGAUAAAUCUUGUAUGUAUUUAAUAUUUUUUUCCAUGCACUUUUUCUUCACUAAAAUGAAAUUAUAUUCUUCACUCAUUUUUCACUAAUGCCAGGACUUGCCACUAUUGUUUUGCCGGCCUGUUUAAAGCUUAUUUUUAAAAUCUUUAUAAAAUAAACUGCUUUUCUGCCUCUCACUACUUUUUUUGCGUGCUUUAAGUUAAAGGAAUGCUGUUCGGCAGGUCUCUUUUCCUUUCAAGUUACUGUGAAACUAUGUAGUUAAUAGAAAAUAUAUAACCACAAGGGCUCCAAUAAACUGAACUGAAAGUGAUUGUAUAUUUUGGUGGGCUUUCUAGAUAUUCUGCACAAAGCGCAGUCGGAUGUGACACAUCAGGUAUACAGCUUUACUAGGUAGGCCUCCAAAGCACACAACCCUUUUCUCGUGUUCCUGUCACUUUUAGCACAUAUUUGUUAAACAGCUAAUUGAACCGCCUUUUAUAGGGCUGUCUGAUGAUGGACCUUUUCCAAGUUUCUUUCUGAAGGGAGGGUAUUUUGUGUAUUCACAAGCAUCCUAUUUAAUCCUAUUUUAUUUGUUCCUUAUUUUGAAAAAACAACAACAGCAAAAAACACGUGUUAAAUACGUUUAUUAUUAUACGUUUAUUAUUAUUAUUAUUAUUAAUAAUAAUUGUACUGUUUUAUCUGAAGUGAAACUUACCUUGUGCUUUUGCUUUUCAUUCUUAAACAUGAGUAGUUCUUAAAGUAUUCUGAAUUUAAUGCUUGUCAGAGUUGCUCUUUUGGAAGCUAAAAGGUCUGAAAUAAUACACUGCAUAAGUAAAUUGAAGGAUAGAGAUACCAUUGCAGAUUUCUUCUUGCUUUCCUACUGACCUACCUUUAACUGCAUGAAAGGCAUUACUGCAUUUUAGUACAUGAUGUGUCAUCAACUUUGUCACAUACUGACAGCAUCCAAAAUAUACUCGGUCGUUUCUAAAUCCUUAGAGAUGCCAGGUAAAAGAAAGAAAUGUAUCCUGAAAAAAAAAAAAAAAAAGUAAUCCAACUGAAUAUAGUUUCACUUUUGAUAUUGCUAUGGUUAAACACCCCGAUGUUCCUUCUGUAAUUCAGAUCCUUGUCUUCUUACUGCACCAAUCAGUAGCUCUAGUUCCACGUUUUUGUAUUACACCCUUCCAGCACUGAGGAAUAAUUGUUCUGUUAACAAGUUGUUGAUGCUACCAACAGAGAUGUCAGCUAAGAGUGUGGUGUAACAAUCAUCUUCAAGUACACAGUUGUAACAUUACUAAUAGCAGUGAGAACAUAUAAAUUAACAAACUUUUUUUUUGGUAUUUUUUGGCACCCAUCACAACAAAGGCCAACUCUUUUCAAAAUUUAACUACAUCUCAUAUUUCAGUAGAUCUGGAUACAUUUUGCACAUUAACUGAGGCUAAAAUGUAAAAGAUGUUGCAACUGUUGCCAGUCUCUAGGUUAUUUACUACAUCAAAUCUUUAAACUUCUUAAAUAAGUUAUUCUCACAGUAAUGCUUCAUUUCUUAGCAAGAAAAUGGGAUAUCUUUAUUUGCCUAUAAAUAUAUUGUUAUUGGUAUCUAGAUAUAUUCUAACAGUAUCCACUCACACUUCUAGGACUACAUGAAGUCCAUGGGACUUACCAACUCAUACACAAAAACAGCUCCUGGAGAAUGCAAGGUACCGAAACUGAACGUUACGAAUAGGAAUGACUCUGCUGAACGUCAAGAAAUGGCAAUUUCACAAACCGAAAAGCCUGAGGAUCAGUCUACUGUUGCAGCAAAACAGGAAUAUGAAGCAGCUAAAUUGUAUGCCUGGUCACAGGCAUUGUCUCUUGAGGACACUCAAUGAUUUGCAUCCUCAGCUGAUCCUCAGCACAAGUCUUCAGAAGUUAAAGCACUAGAAAAUUGCUAACCCAUGUAGUCGCUUUAACACAUUCUCUCCUGCUUUGUGAGCAGACUGCAAAUAUGAAAACACGGCUUCCUACACUUAAGUUUAGAAGAACUGAUAUAUUCAUUGUAAUUAUUUUUAAAAUGUGAAAUAAAAAACAACUCUGUACUGCAAACCUAGGAUAUAACUCAAACAAUUAUUACACUUGCUUAGGUUCAGAACUUCUAUGAAGAGCAGUUGGUUGAUUAUUUGAGUGUUAAUAAGCUUGUAUGGAGAUUCCUCUGGCUACAUUAUUUAGGUUAUUUCACUUACUCACCUUGGUUUCAGAGAACAGUACUGAGCCAAAAUCCAGCUCUUUCAGCUAAAAAUUUCCAAUAAGUUUGGUAAUAAUUGGAUCAGCUCCUAUCUUUAAGGACAUGAAGUUUCAUUAAAAUAAAAUCCUUAGUUUGGUUAAUUAUCAUUACCUAUUUUUUCUUGACUACAAGAUUCUUUUCAUAGAAUAAUUAGGAUAUUUUUUACUAUCCAAGUGUUUUGGAUAAUUUGUCAGGAGAAACAGUGAAAGAAAGAUAUCACUUGACAGUAACACUUCCAGGUUGCAAUAAAUGAACUGAGGAUCAGGGACGGGGAGGUUUUGCACUGUAAAAUGCCUUCUGAAACUUAAUUUUUUUAAUGUUUUGGGUUUUAUCAUCAUAUUAAAAAUUACUGCUGGAAGUUAAAGUAUAUUCCUGGUAUUAAGUUGCCAGCCGUGUUAGAUAAGAAAUGUGAGGAGAAUGACCUGCAAGAGCCAGAAAAGGAAGCCAGAAGAGCUGUUACACAAGGCAAAUCCCACAGAACAUCCACAGCUGGUCAGGAAGGCUCAAGUGAUUAGGACUCCACCCCAAGCAUAAAUUAGCCAAGAAGGCUUUCCAAGAGGCACAAGAAGGUAGCAGAGCAAUUUCUUGCUUUCUAGGAUUGAACUGAAUUUCCCCCCAAUAGGGGAGAGCGUUUUGGUUGUCCCUUAUAUUGCUACCAGUGUCACCACCACAAAUACCAGUCUGUGGAUUUUGUAUGACUUCAGGAAUCUGGGAAGGUAAACACGAGAGGAAUAUACUGACCACCUUGGAACUCUUCCCUUGAGAUUAUGGAAGUUAAAAAAGCAGCACAUGUGUGAAAUACUUGUUUUCAGUUAGCAUCAGGCAAUUCUUUUGACAAAGAAGGGACGGUGAAGUGAAAAUCUCACCAGUAGUACUCAAAAACGUGUAAACACACCCAUAACAUACACUACUGACCACAGGAGAGAAAAGAUUGUCACAGAGAAUAAGGAAUUCUAUGGUCGGUUUAACUCAAGCUUGUGAGAUGAGCAACACGGCAACAAAGAGUAAAAGAAACAACGCUUGCACUGUGCCUGAGGACAUACUGAAAAUGGGUGGGGGAAAGAAAGGUGCCAGUUUAGCUCAAAGACGUAUCUGUCUGGUAAAACUAAAUACUGCAACAAAAGGGUUAACCACUAAAGCCAUCUAUCUCCUUAGAAAACAAGUAUUUUAUUCAGCACAAUUUAUUGAACUUUUAUCCGUUACAGAACUGUUACCAAGGGCGACAUCACCGUGAGACACAUUUGACAGAUACCAGAUACGUGGCAGAGUUUUUUCUUAUUUUCUCAAGUAAUACAUAGCAUUAAUCUAGAAUGCUGGGUGCUCAGCAUGAGGCACUUAAUCGCUGGAAUGAAUGUCAUCGACAGAAGACUGGGUAUUUAAACAGAGAUCACCACGAGAUUUAUUUUUACCUGUGAGCGUUGCCAAAAGCUAACUUUUCAACCAAAGCAGCAAACGUAGACGUAAAAAAUGUUAAUGAAAAGACAUUAGGACCAUCUUUACACAUAUUCCCUUACCGUCUCACUUGAACGAGCAAAAAUUUUGCACAUGCCAAGAAAGUUGCAUUGGCCAAGGUGGUGCUAUGAUCAAAAGAUGACACUGAAACAUCAACAAGACUUAAUAGGCCGAAGACUUGAUACCCUGGGGGCAGGGAGGGGAUACAUCAACAAGUACAUUAUGAACUCAAAAGGUACCAAAGAAAUACAGCAUCUGUGGAACACCCAAAUCAACAGUUUUUGUUUUAAUAUUAUGAAGCUGAUGGAAUAAGAAAAAAAAAAAAAUCUAUAACUAACAGGGAACAUCUGUUGAAAUUAAGAAUUUCAAGUCAACAGGGGUGGAUAACAUACCAAAAAUCUAGAAGGAAUUAACAAAACUACCUUUGCCAAACUAACAUUAAUUUAAUAUCACACAAAGCAAGUGAACACAGAUGAGUGAACUACCACUGAAAAAUAAAGCCACAUACUCCAAAAAGUAAAGAAUUUGAUAAGAACAACUAUGAGCCAGUUAAUCUGAGAGUCUCCAUAGUGAAACAAUGGAAGCAUUAUUUAAGGUUCCUAAUCAACUAAGCAGGUGCUAAAGGCAGCCAAGUGUAGCAUCAUGGUAGAAAGGUACUGCCAGAAAUGUGACCUCGCUCACAAAGAAAGGAAGCUAAAAGAUGAACAAAAAAUAAUUGUAAAUAACAAAUUUGUGACAUGCAAAGAUUGCUGUCAUCUUCUGUUCUGCUGUAUCUGUCUACUACGUUUGGUCUGAACCAAAAAUGGGGGACACACCGCAAUUCAAAGAGGCCCCUUUUCUUGUGGCAUGCUCCCUGGGGCCAGUGGAUCUGUGCUGUUCUCUGUUAAAUUGUGCUGCUUAGUGUGGCCCGAAGUCAGGCCACCAAAGAGGGAGGAAAAGAAGCAACUUCGUGCAAAAAGUCUUCAGUCAUCCUGUGUUCCAAAAUAACAUUAGAGUACUAUUUUUGGACUGUGAUGAGACCAUCACAGUUAUUUUCAAACAUUUUUCGUAAUAGCCUUUUAAACCAGGGACUUUGACAGCAAGAGAGUUGCUGAAGAAUGCUUGCAGAGAAAAGGAAAAACAUGUCAAGGGACUGACAAGGAAGGCUUACAUCAGCCUGCUUGAGAAAACAAAGAUCACAACCUCCUUCCUGUAUUACCUCCCUUCUUGGUAUCAAAUGUUGUCCUAAUCUGAUACAUCAAUCCUGAAAUUAAUACCUCAUUAUGGGAAACUCAAAGUGGUAUGACUUAGCUUUCAGGGUCCAAGCGUGUAAUAAACACACUUUGUCUCAGAGCCCCUGAUUCCAUGUAUUUGACAGAUUUGGUUGGACCUUCUCUUCUCCCAGCCUGUGAGGAACACCAAAGGCUGGCCUCGUUUCCCAUUUUUGUUGUUUAAAUAUACAUUUAGUAAAGUCCUGCAACCCAGGUACACUACACUAAGUAUUACAAAGUAUACACAAGAGCAUUUAAAGCUUAAAAAUAUUUUAUUUACACUUUUCUUUAUACACAUUUUAUACAUUUUUUUUUCAGUUUAAAAACCAAACACAGCGCAUAUGCAAGUCUGAGCAUACUGUAUCCAUAGCUAGGGAAAAUUACCUUCUGCCAAAAAGAUACAAG